CAUCACAUUUUGAAGACCAGACUCCUAGGAGUGAGCUGGCCAACCUCUGAGUAAAUGAGAGAUAAGAAGGAUAUCAUGAAAGGAGAAGAAAUGGACCAGGAAAGACCAUCUGGUAGGAAAAAGAGUCACUUUCUGGAAGAAUAGACGUCCCGGAGAUCUUAGAGAAACAGAAAUAAUUCUACAUUUGUGCUGGUCCCUUUGGGCUGCCUCUAGAAUUCCCUCAUGACCACCCAACUGAGACCCACUCCUUCUUGAAACAGUCAGUGCUCCCAGUUAUCUCCCCUCUUGACAUAAUCACAAUCUCCUGUUUUCA